ensembl:lncRNA
AUGACGUCGCCACCUAAACCACGCCCCUUCUUCCCUUUCCCCCCGGUUGGGGACAUUCGGGGACAUUCGGGGGGUCCUGGGGACACCGGGGGGACCUCGGGGACGCGUCACUGCCGGCCCUGGGUGUCCCCAGCCCUGCCCAGGUGUCCCCAGGUGUCCCCAAGGUUCUCAGGUGUCCCCAACCCGCUCCAGGUGUCCCCGAUGUCCCCAACCCCCUCCAGGUGUCCCCCAGCCCUGCCCAGGUGUCCCCAGGUGUCCCCGGGUGUCCCCAACCCGCUCCAGGUGUCCCCAACCCUGGCCAGGUGUCCCCGGGUGUCCCCAAUGUCCCCAACCCUGGCCAGGUGUCCCCAAGGUUCUCAGGUGUCCCCAGGUGUCCCCCAGUCCUGGUCCUGCUGUCCCCAGGUGUCCCCAGGUGUCCCCAGCGCUGAUUUUGGUGUCCCCAGGUGUCCCCAGGUGUCCCCAGGUGUCCCCAGCACUGAUUUUGAUGUCCCCAGGUGUCCCCAAGGUUCUCAGGUGUCCCCAGCCCUGCCCAGGUGUCCCUUAGACCCCCUCAACCCCAUCCCCGAUGUCCCCAGGUGUCCCCAGGUGUCCCCCCCAGCCCCGGGUCCUGCUGUCCCCAGGUGUCCCCAAGGUUCUCAGGUGUCCCCAGGUGUCCCCCAGUCCUGGUGUCCUCCGAUGUCCCCAACUGUCGGAGCUUGGGUGGGUUGGACGGUCGGGACGGAUGGAGACGAGAGAUCUCUGCGGUCAGAUCUUGGAACAUGCGGUUUAUUGCAAAGGGCGUGGGUAUAGGGGCACUGCUUAGAGCUGCCAGCUGCAGCUCGGAGCAGGCCCAGGAGAGUGAGAGUGUAAAAGUAAGAGCAAGUAGGUGAGAGCGGAGUGAGCCAAGAGGAAGUCAGUAAGGGGGGCCGAAGUCCUCGUUACAAUACAAUAAAUCAUCUUCUGUGCUGAAUAUUCUGAUUUUCACUGGCCAAUCUCGUCCGAGAUACAAACCCUAUCGCAUUUACACACAGCCUGUAGGAAUUGUUAUAUUACCAUAGAGUGUUACACUUUAACUCCUAAAAACGGCUCUUUGGACCCCUUCUGCUGAGCUGGUGGGGUCUGCUCUGACCCUCGGACCUGCCUGCAAGCAGAGGGUAUUGUUCAAUCGAGAGGGGAUUACCUUCAGUCGGCCAUACCAUUGUUUUCCAGUUGUUCGGUAACUAAGACUUGGUAUUUCAAAAGCGGCUUUCAUUUCGAUGUCGCUUAUAUUUUUCAUAUUCCCAAAAUCUUUUGUCAGGCAAUCAUAUUUAUAAGGCUUUCCUGUUUCAUCUUCCCCAACAUCUCCCCCGUUCUGAUGAACAAUUAAGAUAUUAGACACAGUCCUACUCGUUAUUUUUUGCACACACUGAAGUAUACAAGGUACUGCUACUAAAACUCUAAUUAUUACUACUAGAAUAAUCAAGCCUAUUUUACAGAGUUCCCUUAGCCAAGGUGCAAAGCUCCAACCAUCAAACAAACUGUCUAGCCAAGACGGGUCAUCUGUUGUAAUUUGGUUAGCUAGGUCCCUUAGGUUUUGUAACUGUUUGUGAAUGGAAACAGAAUGAUCGGAUAAGUUCAUCCAGCAUAAUCCUUCAAAAUCUUCACAGCCAUGCCCAUGUGCUAAUAAAAGAUAAUCAAUGGCAGCUCUAUUUUGUAAAGUGGCAUGUCUGACUGCCUCUUCAUCGGUUAACAAGUCACUGAUCAUGGUAGAGGUGGCAUUUACCUCCUUGCUGAGCCAACAUCCCAACUUGUUUAACUGUUUUAAUGCAAUUGAGGAACUUAACGGAGGUAGAAAAAUGCUCGCAACAAUUGAUUUUUCAGAGUUCCAAGGGUGAAAGUCACUAUCACAGUCGCUCUCGUACUGAUGUCCCCAGGAAGAUCUAAUCUUUCUGUUUUUCUUUUUGAUUACUUCUUUGACACUGGGAGCAAUAAUUGUAAGUUGUCCCAGAGCACAAGGGCCACCAUCUAUUUUUGAAGGGACACCUUGCCAGGCUCUGUCUCCACAGAUGAGCCAAAUUCCUCUAGGGAAUCGAACAGGAAGUUUGUUAGAACGAUCUGCAUGAGGUUCGUCGUAUAUAAGAAGCUUCGCUUGAUUACACCAAGAGGUUAUAUUGCUGUAAGCUGGGUGAUAUGGGGUAACGUUUAAAUGAGGACCGUUUUCUCCUAGAAAGUGAAAGAAAUAGCAGGUAUCCAUAGUUAAUGAGCCUAGGAUUUCUAGCUCUUGAAGGUCAGAUUUAUUAAUUUUAGAAUUAUCAAUAUAAGUUUGGUGUCUAUGGCUGGGACUUGAUGAUCGUCAUAUGGCCAGUACUUAUCAAGAGUAACAUUAUCAAAACCUUCUGGUAAAGGUAUUCCAACUAAACAGGUUGAAAAAGGUUUGUCAGGGCUUGUGUCAGAUAGACAGAUGGUAUCGGAGCCUGCAGAUUUGGCUAAAGCAACCCAGACAUUUGCCUUUGGUUGAUUUACAGGUAAAGCUUCACUACAAAAACUAAAAAGAAUAAAAGCAACGUGCACGCGCGCAGAUGAGAAAACUCCAUUCUUUCCUUGAGCUGUUUUUGGCAGGUCACUUUCUUCUGGUGAUUCUGCACAGCUCAGGUCUGGCUGCUUGCUU